UACGAGGGGGGCGAGCGUUGUUCGGAAUUAUUGGGCGUAAAGGGUGCGUAGGCGGUUCCGCAAGUCCUGUGUGAAAUCUUCGGGCUCAACUCGAAGUCUGCACGGGAAACUGCGGGGCUUGAGUGUGGGAGAGGUGAGUGGAAUUCCCGGUGUAGCGGUGGAAUGCGCAGAUAUCAGGAAGAACACCCGUGGCGAAGGCGGCUCUCUGGAACGCAACUGACGCUGAGACGCGAAAGCGUGGGGAGCGAACAGG
rnacentral:rRNA from 1 species